GCGGGAGUAGCUCAGCUGGUAGAGCAUCACCUUGCCAAGGUGGGGGUCGCGGGUUCAAAUCCCGUCUCCCGCU
rnacentral:tRNA from 2 species